AGUCCUGCUCCUUCCCGGUUACGUCCCUUCCAGCCCUUGGCGGAGUCUGCGGGCGAGAGGGCGCAGGUGCAGAGGUGCCGCCGGCGGCGUGCGGCUGCGAAGGAAGGGACCCCGACACCGAGCGUUCCUGCGGACGCUCCUCAACCGGGGGUUGUUCUCCGUGCUCUGGACCCGGCCCUUCCUCACCUAGGACGUCUCGCGGUGCACUGUCCCCCUCUCUCGGGCGACUUUUCCCCCACCUCCAAGUAGUGAUCAAGCUCAGAAUCCAGCUCGCGCCCGCUGUGCACCUAGCACUUCCCACCUGUAGUCUUUUGACCUCAUCGCCCCCUCUAGAAGGCUGCUGCCAUCGCUUAAAUGAGGAAGCCGAGGUGCAGAGAGGUUUCAGACCUAUUGCGGUGGAGCUGGAGUUCGAGAACCAACCACUCGGUGCUGAGACGCGCUUGCGGAACGGGCGGCGGGCGGGGGUGAAGCGGAGUGAGGGGAGAGGCCAGGUGCGACCCGGGCAGAGGUGACCCUGCUCUCAAUAGUAAAUGAGAACUGAC
rnacentral:lncRNA from 1 species